GCACCCGUAGUUCAAUGGAUAGAAUUGUGGUUUCCGGUACCAUCGAUAGGGGUUCGAAUCCCUUCGGGUGCA
rnacentral:tRNA from 1 species